AUUGAACGCUGGCGGCAGGCCUAACACAUGCAAGUCGAACGGUAACAGGAAACAGCUUGCUGUUUCGCUGACGAGUGGCGGACGGGUGAGUAAUGUCUGGGAAACUGCCUGAUGGAGGGGGAUAGCUACUGGAAACGGUAGCUAAUACCGCAUAACGUCGCAAGACCAAAGAGGGGGACCUUCGGGCCUCUUGCCAUCGGAUGUGCCCAGAUGGGAUUAGCUAGUAGGUGGGGUAACGGCUCACCUAGGCGACGAUCCCUAGCUGGUCUGAGAGGAUGACCAGCCACACUGGAACUGAGACACGGUCCAGACUCCUACGGGAGGCAGCAGUGGGGAAUAUUGCACAAUGGGCGCAAGCCUGAUGCAGCCAUGCCGCGUGUAUGAAGAAGGCCUUCGGGUUGUAAAGUACUUUCAGCGGGGAUGAAGGGAGUAAAGUUAAUACCUUUGCUCAUUGACGUUACCCGCAGAAGAAGCACCGGCUAACUCCGUG
rnacentral:rRNA from 1 species